GAUGAAGAACGUAACGAAAUGCGAUAAGUAAUGUGAAUUGCAGAAUUCAGUGAAUCAUCGAAUCUUUGAACGCACCUUGCACCCUUUGGUAUUCCGAAGGGUAUGCUCGUUUGAGUGUCAUUGUACUCUCACACUUCUAAUUCCUUUCGGGAUUGGGAGCGGUGGACUUGGGUGUUGCUGCUUUAGUUGUGGCUCACCUCAAAUAAGUUAGUGCAACUCUUGGUUGGACAUAGUACGGCGUGAUAAGUGUCUUCGCCGGCGCCUCUGUAAGGAGGGUGGCCGAUCGGGAGCUCUGUGCUUCAAACCGUCUUCGGACAAUCUUUGACAACUUGACCUCAAAUCGAGUAGGACUACCCGCUGAACUUAAGCAUAUCAAUAAGCGGAGGA
rnacentral:misc_RNA from 1 species